AUGCACAAUAACGUCAGACCGGGCUCAGACACCGGAAGCUCCCCGAUAUCUGAAGGUUGGAUUGCUGCAACAAAAAUGAUAAAACUUUCAAGCAUUGGUUCUACUUCUGGUAGCAGCAACUGGGAGGAGGACUGCAUUAUCAGAUGCUCAGAUGAUGUACCAUUGGAUAGCCCUGUGUAUGCCCAAAUGCUAGUACCUAAUCUGCAGGAUGGUGAUGAUAGAAAGCCAAACCUCAAGAGAAUUUGUCUAGGCUAUCCUGCUCUUAGCUUGCAUGACGGUGGUGUUGUUUACCUCAUGCACCUCAUGCACACACGAGAUCCCUGUGAGGACAAGGCCUGUGUGAUUGCUCUUGAUAUGAGGAACAAGGCUGUAAAAGGCGUGGCUAAUUUUGGCGGCUCUGGAAGACCCCUGGGUCAUUGUUUCACCUACUUUCCGAGUGGGAUCUUCAAGCAUCUGGGCAUUUUCUCAUCAACCAGGUAA
rnacentral:rRNA from 1 species